rnacentral:lncRNA from 1 species
CCAGGAAUUACUAAAACUAAAAUUAUUAUCUUUGGGAAGCAUAAAACUAAAGUCUAGGUAAGAGAAAGGCAUGAUAUAAAGUUGAGCUACUGUUUAUCCUGUUUCUACUACACUAAGUUCUGGAGAUUUAUUUUGAAAACUUACAAAUCACAUGAUGAGUUCCUAGCAUACAAAACUACCUACCACAGCUAUACUUGCUAUAACAUCUUUUACUAUAUUCACAUUGAGUUUGAUCGAGCUGUGUAGACCCUUAGGAGCUUUUCAUGUGGUUAAAUUAAGAUAUUCACUUGCACACAUCUACCACACCAUCCAUCACCAAUCAUUAAAAUUGCUAAAAAUAUUUUCACUCACUGUCCCGAAUAUUGUUAUUCUCUCUCUCUAAAAAGAUUCAAUGCAGAAGAGGCAUGGGUUAUGCAAAAAUAUGCGAGGAAAUAAAAAGGGGCAAGUGCCCGGAACCUCGAUAAAGAAAGAAAAAGAGUGAGACGAGAGGUAAAAAUGGACAAGUGUCCGAAGUAGAAUUAGGGGUACAAAGAUGCCCACUUGAGCGGAAAAAAUGGACAAGUGUCCGAUAGUAGAAUUAGGGGUAUCUACUACCCACCUGAAAAAAAAGAGAAAAGAUAGCCCAUGUUUUCCAAAAGCAAAGAUCAAAGAAGAGAAGAGGUAGCAACAUGAGGAGCAAUGAGAACUAAGUUUUAUUAACACUUAUACAUUUUCACCAUUACUAUCAUUUACUCCACCACACAUGCACAUCUUGAUUUAAUUAUAUGCUGAGUUCCUUUGGAUCCAUGGCUCGAUUAGACAAUAUAUGUAUGAGCUGUUUUUCACUCCUAUGAGCUCCACUUAAACAUUCCAUUAGCUAUAGGUAAGUGACAUUAUGGUAAGGAUCCACAAAUACCACAUAUAGAGAGACUUGAGAGAAUCAUUGCUGGGAACUCUGAGUUUUAUUUUAAAAACUUAUGAAAAACUCUAGAACAAAGGUGAAGUAUAGACAGGAGGGAUAGUGCUUGACUUAACUAUUUUGUCUUUCGAUUACUUAAGAUUUAAGUGCAGAUACUAAACUCCACAACACUUCACUCUAAUCUGGAAGAAUUUUAUGUAAAAGCAUGUGUGCCUGUCAGGAAAGAAAACAUCGAAGCAACUCCUGAUCCGUCUGAGUUUAGCUGUUUGCUCAGGGACGAGCAAAGGGUAAGCUUGGGGGAGUUUGUUGACGGUCCUUAAGUACUAAAAUUAAUAAUCAAAUAAACAUGGAAAAGGAUCAAUAUGAAACAAAUAUCUAGAAUUAGGGUUUUAUCUGACAGAAUUCCACGAGUUUUGGUGUUUAUCUAUUUCUGCAGGGGUUUAUCAGAAAAUAUGGAGAGAAGGCCCACAUGUCAUGUUUACAACGAGAUAAUUACGUGCCGCGCAAUUUUCCUCAAUCUAGAAGAAUCCAGAAGCCACGAGAACGAACGAGAAGGGAUUCGGGCUCAGGGGCAGGGCGCCCGCCCACCCCCCUUGGGCGCCCGCCCAGGGUAGGAGUCCAGUCAGGACUCUGCUUCGGGACAACGCUCCACCGACCUAAAGGAUCAAUCUAAACCAUACAAUCUAUGUCGGUUUGAUCCAAUGGCUCACGUUCACUUGAGGGGACUAUAAAACCAGACCCCCUAGCCCCUGGAGGAGAAGAGAAGAAAUCAUUAUUCAGAGGUAGCCAUCAAAGUUAGGGUUUAGAGCUUCUCUCCCACAGAGAAUUAGAAUUAGCUACUCCCUAAUCCUUCAAGUUUAGAGGUUUGAUUAGAUAGCAAUUAGAGAAGUCGAGCACUACGCUCUGGAUUCGGAUCUUCGGUAAUAAAGAUUGGUAUUAUUCAUAUCUUUCUCUAAUUCUAUUGUUCUAAUUGCAUUAUGUCUCUAAUUAUUAUGUUCUUAGUUUGUUCUAGUUCUAUAUUUGAUAUAGUUCUAAUUGAUAAUGAGUUUAUGUAUAAGUUUGCAAAGCACUUAGCUCUUGACGCGAGGGAGUUAGGUGAUAGAUCACAUGUGAGCGUGGUGCUUAGAUGUUAUUUAUCUGCAAAUGUAUCCUAUUGGCCGGGUCGUGUGGUAGUUCGCGAUAGUGACAGCUUCGUUGAUUCUUAUAUAGUCCACCCUCCGUUGAUAGGACAGGCAGAACCGGUAUUGUGGAGUAAGUCAUGCGAUGUUCUGAUUUACUUUAUCAAUGUUCCUUAUACAUGAAUGAAGAGUCUUUUAUGCUAUGUAUGAUCUUGUAGAUAACUAGAGUAGAUUAUGACUUAGUAGUUAGUAGAUAACUUAGAAUCCAUUCUCUAGCUAAUCCGACAUCACCUACAUAUAUGAGGAGUAGUCUAUUUUCUAAUCGCUGUGUUAUCUACCCAUGAACUUAUAAUUCAUUAUCAUUAUCUUUAUGGUUUACCCCUUGCUAAAGUAUGUGACUGUGUGAUGAGUUUCUCAUUAGUAAUCAUGUUCUUGCAAGUUUAUCUCUAGAUUAUGCCUUGAUAGAUUUUGCCCCCUUGAUUUAAUUUUAUUUUCUUGAGAUCCCUUGAGCAAAAUUAUAAAUAACGAUACCUGGAAUACUUAUCCUGGUGAAAUGCUACAAUGAGGUGUUUUAUCUGUGCGCUUGCGGAUAGAAUAGAUUAUUUUCUAGAGAGCCUUUACAUUUAUAAAUACCUUUGUACACUCUGGCGCCAUGCUAGGGAUGACAACCUAGUAUCUAAGUGGUGUUAGCUAGUGUCAACAAAAGGCAUGAUAUAAAGUGAGCUACUGUUUAUCUUGUUCCUACUACACUAAGUUCUGGAGAUUUAUUUUGGAAACUUACAAAGCACAUGAUGAGUUCCUAGCAUUACAAACUACCUACCACAGCCAUGUUUGCUAUAACAUCUUUUACUACACUUACAUUGAGUUUGAUCGAGCUGUGUAGACCUUUAGGAGCUUUUCAUGUGGUUAAAUUAAGAUAAUCACUUGCACACAUCUACCACACCAUCCACCACUAUUUAUUAAAAUUGCUAAAAAUAAUAUUAUCACUCACUGUCCCAAAUAUUGUUAUUCUCUCUCUCUAAAAAAAGAUUCAAUGCAGAAGAGGCAUGGGUUAUGCAAAAAUAUGCGAGGAAAUAAAAAGGGGCAAGUGCCCGGAACCUUGGAAAAGAAAGAAAAAGAGUGAGACGAGGGGUAAAAAUGGACAAGUGUCCGAAGUAGAAUUAGGGGGUACAAAGAUGCCCACUUAAGCGGAAAAAAUGGACAAGUGUCCGAUAGUAGAAUUAGGGGUGUCUACUACCCACCUGAAAAAAAAGAAAAAAAAAGAGAAAAAGAUAGCCCAUGUUCUCCCAAAGCAAAGAUCAAAGAAGAGGAGAGAUAGCAAUAUAAGGAGCAAAUUGAGAAGAAAGCUUUAUCAUUACUUAUAUAUUUUUACCAUCACUAUCAUUUACUCCACCACACAUGCACAUCUUGAUUUAAUUAUAUGCUGAGUUCCUUUGGAUCCAUGGCUCGAUUAGACAACAUAUGUAUGAGCUGUUUUUCACUCCUAUGAGCUCCACUUAAAUAUUCCAUUAGCUAUAGGUAAGUGAUAUUUUAAGGAUCCACAAAUACCACAUAUAGAGAGACUUAAGAGAAUCAUUGCUGGGAACUCUGAGUUUUAUUUUGAAAACUUAUGAAAAACUCUAGAACAAAGGUGAAGUAUAGACAGGAGGAAUAGUGCUUGACUUAAUUGUUUUGUCUUUGAAUUACUUAAAGACUUAAGUGCAGAUACUAAACUCCAUAACACUUCACUCUAAUCUGGAAGAAUUUUAUAAAAGCAUGUGUGCCUGUCAGGAAAGAAAACAUCGAAGCAACUUCUAAACCGUCUAAGUUUAGCUGUUUGCUCAGGGACGAGCAAAGGGUAAGCUUGGGGGAUUUUGUUGACGGUCCUUAAGUACUAAAAUUAACAAUCAAAUAAACAUGGAAAAUGAUCAAUAUGGACCAAACAUCUAGAAUUAGGGUUUUAACUGACAGAAUUCCACGAGCUUUGGUGUUUAUCUAUUUCUGCAGGGGGUUAUCAGAGAAUAUGGAGAGAAGGCCCACAUGUCAUGUUUACAACGAGAUAAUUACGUGCCGCGCAAUUUUGCUCAAUCUAGAAGAGUCCAGAAGCCACGGGAACGAACGAGAACACGAUCGGGCUCGGGGACAGGGCGCCCGCCCACCCCCCUUGGGCGCCCGCCCUGGCCAGGAGUUGGAUCAGGACUCUGUUUCGUGACUAAACUCCACCGACCUAAAGGAUGAAUCUAAACCAUACAAUCAAUGUCGGUUUGAUCCAACGGCCCAAAUUCACUUGAAAGGACUAUAAAACCAAGGCCUCUCCACCCCUGGAGGAGAGAGGAGAAGAGAAGAAAUCAUUAUUCAGAGGUAGCCAUCAAAGUUAGGGUUUAGAGCUUCUCUCCCACAGAGAAUUAGAAUUAGCUACUCCCUAAUCCUUGAAGUUUAGAGGUUUGAUUAGAUAGCAAUUAGAGAAGUAGAGCACUACGCUCUGGAUUCGGAUCUUCGGUAAUAAAGAUUGGUAUUAUUCAUAUCUUUCUCUAAUUCUUUGUUCUAAUUGCAUUAUGUCUGUAAUUAUUAUGUUCUUAGUUUGCUCUAGUUCUAUAUUUGAUAUAGUUAUGAUUGAUAAUGAGUUUAUGUAUAAGUUUGCAAAGCGCUUAGCUCUUGACGCGAGGGAGUUAGGUGAUAGAUCACAUGUGAGCGUGGUGCUUAGAUGUUAUUUAUCUGCAAAUGUAUCCUAUUGGCCGGGUCGUGUGGUAGUUCGUGAUAGUGACAGCUUUGUUGAUUCUUAUAUAGUCCACCCUCCAUUGAUAGGACAGGCAGAACCGGUAUUGUGGAGUAAGUCUUGCGAUGCUCUGAUUUACUUUAGCAAUGUUCCUUAUACAUGAAUGAAGAGUCUUUUAUGCUAUGUAUGAUCUUGUAGAUGACUAGAGUAGAUUAUGACUUAGUAGA